rnacentral:rRNA from 1 species
ACUCCUACGGGAGGCAGCAGUAAGGAAUAUUGGUCAAUGGACGCAAGUCUGAACCAGCCAUGCCUCGUGAAGGAUGAAGGUCCUCUGGAUUGUAAACUUCUUUUAUAUGGGGCGAAACAGCGGAUUUCUAUCUGCCUUGACGGCACCAUAUGAAUAAGCACCGGCUAACUCCGUGCCAGCAGCCGCGGUAAUACGGAGGGUGCAAGCGUUAUCCGGAUUCACUGGGUUUAAAGGGUGCGUAGGCGGGCAUGUAAGUCAGUGGUGAAAUCCUGGAGCUUAACUCCAGAACUGCCAUUGAUACUAUAUGUCUUGAAUUUCCUGGAGGUUAGCGGAAUAUGUCAUGUAGCGGUGAAAUGCUUAGAUAUGACAUAGAACACCUAUUGCGAAGGCAGCUGACUACGGGUAGAUUGACGCUGAGGCACGAAAGCGUGGGGAUCAAACAGGAUUAGAUACCCUGGUAGGAUAGCGU